GCCCGCCUAGCUCAAUUGGUCAGAGCGUCAGACUUUUACGGCUAGGCUUGCUGGCAAAUGUGAUCAUCUGAAAGUUGCGGGUUCGAGUCCCGCGGUGGGCU
rfam:Agaricus bisporus var. burnettii JB137-S8 unplaced genomic scaffold AGABI1scaffold_6, whole genome shotgun sequence.